UGGUCCUCACCAUGCCUCACUUUACAUCUGCAGAAUGGGUUCCAGGUAACAUCUACCUCCUGCGAACAUAUGAGAUGAUCCAGAGGAGACGCUGAGCCCCGUGCUGCCUGACAGCGCUCCCUAGACCUUAUCCACUGGAAAAGAAACUGCGCUCAGAACAUGAGCCUCCCAUCACCCCUAACCAUCCACGAGAGACAUCAGAGGAAUCCCACUGAUGGGCCCUCCAUGAAGUGCAGCGAGUUCUCCAAACUGUGGAGGUCUUGGAAAACAAAGAAGGUCCAGGCAGCUAUCACAGCCGAGCGGAGCCUAGAGAGACCUGGGCAAACUACUAACUGCAGUGUGGUGACCUGGGUGGAGUGCGACGUCCUGGAUGGGGUGCUGGGACAGUAAAGGACACUAGGGAGGAGCUAAGGAAGUAGAAUGGAGUUUUCACUUUAGUUAACAGCUUCAUUGACUCUAACAAAUAUGUCACUGAUGUGGAAUGUCAAUCAUACGGGGAGAGGAGAGAGAAGUAUUAUCUUGGAAGUUUUCUGUGACUCUAAACUAUUGCUAAAUUAAAACUGUAUCCAAAAGAAGGGGAGGGUUUAAACCUCUCCCAAUGACACACACCUGCUAUGAAGCAAAGCUAUGUUCUGGACCCACUUCAUAGCAACCGGGAGCCCACCUGGAGCCAUCCUGGGCCACAUUAGGACUGUGGCAAGCCAGGAGAGGAGGAGCCUGAGGAUGUCGGAUGCCUUGCCGGCUGGGAUACCAGACUGCACUCAGGUAGGGGCUAGUGAUAGGGAAGGACUGUGAGGUGGGGGGCAGCCACCAAGUACGAGCAGAGCUGUGAGGACAGGCUCUCCCUGUCCACAGACCACAGGAGGGAACCAAGUGGGUGUCCAGGACAAGCCCUGUCCUCUGGCCACAUGCACUGUGGAGAGGCUGCAGGCAAGCCAGGCUCGUCUUUAUGAAGUUGC
rnacentral:lncRNA from 1 species